ensembl:snRNA U6 U6 spliceosomal RNA
GUGUUUGAUUCUGCAGUACAUAUACUUAAAAUUGGAGGGAUACAGAGAAGAUUAGCAUGGCCCCCAUGCAAGGAUGACACACAAAUUCAUGAAGUGUUCUACAUUUUU